rnacentral:sRNA from 1 species
GUCCACAAGAAGAGUGUUGAGAGUGUUUGAGAGACGGAUCACAUUGCGUGGGACCUGGAAGUUCAGAUUGCAAUUUUUCCCAUGCCAUCUAGCGUACAGUGCCGCUUUUUUUGUUGAUUUAUUAAAAAUCAACUAGGCUACUAAACAUUUUCUAUAAGAACUGCGAAAGCGUCUUAUCGACCCGAAGCCUAGUUUUUCAGAUAAAAAUGACAAUAACAAACGAAUUUCAGCUUACCAAGAAGAUUUCAUCAUCCGAAGACGAGAUCUUGAUUUCGCGGUUCUUUGCUGCUUCGGAUGCUUCCUUUUGG